AAUUUGCCAAUGACCGAGAAAGUAGCAAUUACCUAUGCUGAUAAGAGAGGGAGAGACUUAGGCUGAAAUCUUUCCUGCAGUAAGUAAAUGUGAACAACACUUGAGAGGCUUUCCUUCGAAAUGUUUAAAACUUAGUAGGGGGGAACGGAAUCGGCCGUUAUCCGAUUAUGAGAGGAUGUACUAUUUAGUACAUCAACUAGGGUGGAACCGCGGAAGUUACUAGCUUUCGUCCCUUGC
rnacentral:ncRNA from 1 species